GAGGGCAUAGCUCAGUGGUAGAGUGCGUGCUUGUCAUGCAUAUGGUCAUGGGUUCAAUUCCCCAGUACCUCUG
rnacentral:tRNA from 1 species